GGUUGUCGACAUUCCCCUCAAAAAAAUCAUUCUGAUGGACCCAUUUGGAAAUGAAGCCUCCUAUGAGAGGAGAAUUUUGCGCAACUGGAGGAAUUUUAUGAAACAGAGAGGGGAUGAUGAGAACAGAGCAACAUGGACAGUAGCAACCCUGCAACACAACAAGCAGAGAGAUGGUAGCAGUUGCGGCGUUUUAAUUUUGAAGUUUGCUGAACAUCUCCUUUCAGAGGGAGACAUCAGUCGAGUUCAGACGACUUCAGAUUUCGUGACAAAUGCCCGAUUGGAAAUAGCCUGUUCCCUCCUGGAAUAUCAGGGCAAGGCAUUGGACUACUGUGUCAUUUGCUCCAUGAUGGAAGGCGAUGCUGACAAAACCCUAAUUGAAAUGGUCCAAUGCGACCACUGCAACAGAUGGGCACAUUUUCAAUGUGCAAAUUUUGAUCCAAAGAAUCAGUUUGCUUUCAUUUGUACAAAGUGUUUGUGAAAGUUUUUUUUUUCUUUUUGGCUUCAAAUACAUAUUAAAGUACCAGUA